rnacentral:misc_RNA from 1 species
CGGUCCUCUGUUCCUCUUCAUUCUUUUCGGGUUCGUGUGGCAGCACCAAGCCACAUAAACAUUAAUCGCAGCACGAAUCCUCAUCACCAUGUAUUUGGCUGUCUUCCACGAGUUCGCUCAUCCGGAGGUGCUGGAGAAUGUGAAGGCGGAAGGCAUCUGUGACGUGGACGUGGCUCCGGAGCCGAGCAAGCUGGCCACUUCGGAGGAAGAGCAGCAAGUGUUGCGCUGCAACGCGAAGUUGAUAACGGUGAAGCACAACAUUACCGGUAUCCGUGACGUCUUUGAUGGCAUGACGGAGGCGGAGCUGGCGGAGAUCGAUGGGCAGGUAAACCAGAAGCUGCAGCAACUCGUUGCGCUUGGCUUUCAGGUGGUGGAGCGCCACCCACGGACGUCGGCCGGUUGCCCAAUGCUGGACCGCGUGAUCCUGUCGUACCCGGCUUAACUCAAACGAAAGAAACGAAAGGAGCAGUGAUGAGUGUGUUUGGGGGGGCCCAGACCAUGAUGGCGGGCUUUGGCCGCCUUUGCGGCCUAUGCGCACCCCCCACCCAAAGACUCUUCCGCACUGUGGUAUAGCAAUCUUGAAGACGCACGCGUCUGUGACGGGGGCCGAGGUGAAGAAUGUCGUCGCCUUUCUUUUUCCCUUCUCUUUCGAGGCGUCCGCUCUUUAGUUGCUCGAAACGAACUGUACAGUGCUCAAAGGGGGAAGGCGUUGCGGUGAGACGGCAAUGACGCCAACCGCCGAUGCUGCCGCUUCACACGUAGCAGCGCGCAGCAGCAACCCUUGUCACAGUGAAUAAGAGCAGCAAGCAAGUCGCACUUCGAUUUUGCAUGCGCCGGCGUUUGUGCUGCUGGCUCUUCUCGCGGAAUGGGAGGGCGAGCACUUCGCCUUGUCAAGCUUCGUUAUUAUAUAUAUAUAUAUAUUUGCAUUUCCUCUCGCGUUGUGGCUGGGCGCAUGCGUGUAUGCCAAUGACAGGGCCAUGGAAGGGGUUGAGGAGACGGUGAUACCAUAGGGAUCGGUAGAUAGUUGCGCGGCGAGGCAGGCGGUGGAGCACCAAACUCAAGAAAUCACAGGCAGCACCGCCGGUCUCCUCUUCUGCUCCUCUCGUUGUGAACUGUGCAAUGCAGUUAGCGUCCCUCCCCUCCCCGUGCCACUGCGAUGGACCGCUACUUGACGCGUCGCAUCAAGCGAACCUGGUGUCUUUCACGCGCCUUUUCCGCGCACACCUCUCUCCUGUGCGCCCCGCUCCUGCCUACACAUGCGGCAUGCAUUUUCAUUUGCUGUUCCCCCUGCCUCCUCCUCCUCUUACUUUCUGCAACGUGGCGGGCAAUGCCACACAUCCGCUCGCGCUCCGACACGUCCAACGCCUGCCCACACACACGCUCUCUUUUCCCGCAUUGACUACUCGAAAUCCUGUCGAAUCCUUUUCAUCGGUGUCUCCAG